AUUGAACGCUGGCGGCAGGCCUAACACAUGCAAGUCGAGCGGCGCAGCGGACGGGUGAGUAAUGCCUAGGAAUCUGCCUGUGAGUGGGGGAUGACGUCCGGAAACGGGCGCUAAUACCGCAUCCUAUCAGAUGAGCCUAGGUCGGAUUAGCUAGAUGGUGGGGUAAAGGCCUACCAAGGCGACGAUCCGUAACUGGUCUGAGCGGAUGAGCAGUCACACUGGAAAUGAGACACGGUCCAGACUCCUACGGGAGGCAGCAGUGGGGAAUAUUGCACAAUGGGCUCAAGCCUGAUCCAGCCAUGCCGCGUGUGUGAAGAAGGUCUUCGGAUUGUAAAGUACUUUAAGCUGGGAGGCGUUACCAACAGAAGAAGCACCGGCUAACUCCGUGCCAGCAGCCGCGGUAAUAC
rnacentral:rRNA from 1 species